CCACAUUGGGACUGAGACACGGCCCAGACUCCUACGGGAGGCAGCAGUGGGGAAUAUUGCACAAUGGGCGGAAGCCUGAUGCAGCAACGCCGCGUGCGGGAUGACGGCCUUCGGGUUGUAAACCGCUUUCAGCAGGGGCGAAGCUUGUGGUGACGGUACCUGCAGAAGAAGCACCGGCUAACUACGUGCCAGCAGCCGCGGUGAUACGUAGGGUGCGAGCGUUGUCCGGAUUUAUUGGGCGUAAAGAGCUCGUAGGUGGUUGAUUGCGUCGGAAGUGAAAACUUGGGGCUUAACCCUGAGCGUGCUUUCGAUACGGGUUGACUUGAGGAAGGUAGGGGAGAAUGGAAUUCCUGGUGGAGCGGUGGAAUGCGCAGAUAUCAGGAGGAACACCAGUGGCGAAGGCGGUUCUCUGGACCUUUCCUGACGCUGAGGAGCGAAAGCGUGGGGAGCGAACAGGCUUAGAUACCCUGGUAGUCCACGCUGUAAACGGUGGGUACUAGGUGUGGGGUCCAUUCCACGGAUUCCGUGCCGUAGCUAACGCAUUAAGUACCCCGCCUGGGGAGUACGGCCGCAAGGCUAAAACUCAAAGGAAUUGACGGGGCCCCGCACAAGCGGCGGAGCAUGCGGAUUAAUUCGAUGCAACGCGAAGAACCUUACCUGGGUUUGACAUGGACUGGGAGUGCUCAGAGAUGGGUAUGCCUCCUUGUGGGGCUGGUUCACAGGUGGUGCAUGGCUGUCGUCAGCUCGUGUCGUGAGAUGUUGGGUUAAGUCCCGCAACGAGCGCAACCCUCGUUCACUGUUGCCAGCACGUUAUGGUGGGGACUCAGUGGAGACCGCCGGGGUCAACUCGGAGGAAGGUGGGGAUGACGUCAAGUCAUCAUGCCCCUUAUGUCCAGGGCUUCACGCAUGCUACAAUGGCCGGUACAAAGAGUUGCGAGCCUGUGAGGGUGAGCGAAUCUCGGAAAGCCGGUCUCAGUUCGGAUUGGGGUCUGCAACUCGACCCCAUGAAGUCGGAGUCGCUAGUAAUCGCAGAUCAGCAACGCUGCGGUGAAUACGUUCCCGGGCCUUGUACACACCGCCCGUCAAGUCAUGAAAGUCGGUAACACCCGAAGCCGGUGGCCUAACCUGUGUGGGGGAGCCGUCGAAGGUGGGACUGGUAAUUAGGACUAAGUCGUAACAAGGUAGCCGUACCGGAAGGUGCGGCUG
rnacentral:rRNA from 1 species